rfam:Xenopus laevis strain J chromosome 1L, whole genome shotgun sequence.
UCUAAGGUUUUUUUGAAAACCAUCAAUCGAUGGAUUAAAAUCCUU